CCCUUAGAUGUUCUGGGCCGCACGCGCGCUACACUGAUGCAUUCAACGAGUCUAAAACCUGGUCUGAUAGGGCUGGGUAAUCUUUUGAAUGUGCAUCGUGAUUGGGAUAGAUGAUUGCAAUUCUUCAUCUUCAACGAGGAAUGCCUAGUAAACGCAAGUCAUCAGCUUGCAUUGAUUACGUCCCUGCCCUUUGUACACACCGCCCGUCGCUCCUACCGAUUGAAUGUUCCGAUGAAUACCAUGGACUGAGAGUAUGAAUGGGUUCACCUAUUUCUGCUUCUCGGGAAGUGGAGUAAAUCUUAACAUUUAGAGGAAGGAGAAGUCGUAACA
rnacentral:rRNA from 1 species